ACUAGUGUGAAAUGUUGACUAAUACAUUUUGCGGUGACUCUCCCUAAUCAAAUGUUUUCCAGCUGUUUGUGCUCUGAUGAUAAAUUCAGGUUUUCCUAGUUUGCCGAGCUUCCUUGGGAGACAAAGGAGGGAUUUCCUCUGAAACAGACAGGCAGUGGCAGCACCAACAAAUGACUGGGAGCACCCCUCAUGUUCCUGUUGUUGGCUCCAUCAGCGCUCACUGGGAAACGUCCUGGCCUCUAUUGUCCAAGAGGUCAGAGGUCACAGGAUGCUCCUAAAGGCCCAAAAGGGGAGGUAAGAGGUUGGAUAGUGAGGUCUGAUAAAGAAUGACACACUCACACACACACGCAUAGUACGUUUCUCUAUCUUUACUGGGAUUUUGCAUUGACUUCCAUUCAUUUUUCAUUCAUUUCUAUAAGACAUACCCUAAAACUAACCUAGACUCAAUUCACACUUUAGUCCUAAACUUAACCCUUAACCAAAAAACAGCACCUCUCCUUUUGGGGCCCAGGCUCUAGGCCCCAUAAGGAGCAGUCGGUCCUCACAAUGUAGUAUUUGUUGGAAAAAUGAUCCUUAGACUGUAGCAAAAACGAGGCCACACACUAACACACACACACCCACGCGCACAUUUGCGCAUAUAUGCACACUCACAAGCGCCAAUUAAAUCAAAACGCUGAAACAGCAUCUUGUCACAUCGCCUUUCAUUACAAGUCCAAGUCAUUAUCAAGAUUUUCAGGAAAUGAAUGAGAACAAAGCUCAGACUGACUGUUUCAUACUAAACAUCCUGACAUUCCUCCGUUCAUGUUUGGAGCUCUGCUCCUUAUUUGCGUUCUCUGAAUAUCUUCGCAGGAUGGCCUGCAUGCUUUCCUGCAGAAAGCAAGCAAAUCUUACCUAAGAGCCGAAGUGGCGAAAUUGCACACAUACUGUAACGUGCUUUUAACCACAGGUGGAUUUGAAAAUGUAUUAUUUAUAUGACAUGGAAAGGUUGUUGAGGAGCUUUAGUAGAAGGUUUAAAUUGUCCCAUGUCUUAUUGUGCAGAAAGAACAGGAUGAGUAGAUUCCUGUAUUCCCUGGAUAAUCAAAGACAUUUAUCUGUUUAACAGAGCAAAGCGGAGCUUUCAGUAGAAAUCCAGAUGAGUCUUGCGUUGCAGCUUUGGUACUUAUUUUUGCCAUAUCUUACAAACUACAUCAUCUCAGCAACAAUGCUCUUCUUGGUCAUGUUUGUACUUUUUUGUCUGAUUUUAUGUAUUUUACAUCAGGUAACGUUUUUCUUUUUUCUUUUUCCAGGAAAUGCAUAAGUGAAACUUAAGUUGGCCUUUUAGAGAAAGCGCACAAACGACAUCAUUUAAAAAUUUAAUAAAUCUUUAUUUGCAUUUGCAAAAAGAAUCAAAUACAUGUUUGCACCAAACUAGACCAUCAAUCUGACAUGAUUAUUUCAUUGGCCCGUAACAUUGAUUUGAAUCCAUUCAGCAACCCUUUGUUCCUUCAAACCAACAAUAAUUCAGAUUCUGGAGGCAUUUUAAAGCGUUUUAUUAAUUCUUUUGCAAUUCUUUGCAAUUUUGUCGACGAUCAACAGAUACAAGAUUUAUAACCAGCAGUAAGCCCUGUAGCAGCCUUCCCAGAAUGUGGUGUAACUCUUUGACACGUCACCCAACUAGGAUUUUAGAAAGCAGAAAUUAAGUUAUGAAGUUGAAAAUAUGUUGCAAGAAUCUUAGUGACACAGAAAGAAAUACUGUUAGUUAGUUAGUUAAUCUGCCUAGUAACCAAGUAGGUUAGCACAAAGUAAGCUUGAAACAAGUUAGUUAAUUACUUAGAGAAAAAUAGGCUAGCAUAUAACAGAAAAUGAAAGUACAAAUAAACUUAGUGAGUCUGAAAGUUUGUUAGUCAAAAAAAAAAAGGAAGUUUGUGAUUUACUGACCUGUUAAUUAAGGUAGUAAUUAAGUGACAAUGAAUAUAAGAAACCAAGGUGGCAAGUAAGGGAGCAGGUUGUUCAAAGAUAUGUCAGCCAUUUUGCUAGUGACUCUAACUUUGAAGGUGAAGAAAAAGUAAGUUUGUAAGUGAGACAGUAUAUAAGCCUGCAAUUUAGUAAUUCAGUUACCAGCUUAAUGGGUAAGCAAUACAAUACAUGAGUAAUACAGUUAUAAAGUAAAAAUUAGGUUUUUCAGUAAGCCAUGAAGUCUAUGAGUAAACAAGUAAGUAAUAAAGUUAGUUAGUUUUUAGUUAGGUAUUUCUCAAAGGUCAAUAUUACAGAGAUUCUUGUGCACCCAGCUGAUAACCGGAUGAAGGAUAACUGAGGCCAAGGUUUCUUGUCUUGUGUGUAGGUAAUUGUCUGAACAACACAUGUGAAAAAUGGUUUCUAAAUAUUAAAUUACAGUCAGAAAAAAAAUUCCUUUUGUUAUUAAUAAAGUCUAGAUGUUUUCCUCAGCUUUUUCUGCAAACACAAACCAGGAAGCUUUCAGUGUCAAAAGCCCUUGUCCCUUGCCAGCCGACUGUGCAGAUUCACCCACAGAAUUUGUGUUUUGGGCAUUACCUUUGACAACAGGAGCGCUCUGUGAGGACGUGUUGCACAUCAGAGAGGUUUGCCUUCAGGGCUUCCUGCCAGGAAGUUUCUCCAGCAUGACGUUUGCAUUUUGAAAGCACCUAAUUUAACUAGAGGUUUUGUCCAAAAAAAAAAAAAACCCCAAAAACACACAAGUAGUUUUAUUACCUAAGUGUAAGCAAGCACUGAAAUAAAACAGGUUUACAGCAGAACUAAAUCCAGAUGGUACGCUAAUGUCACUGAUAUGCAUUAUCUCGACCCAUCGCCAACUGGAGCCUAUUUGCCAGGCGGACUGUGUCACUAAAUAUCCCGCCUCGCCUGACUCAAAAGCUCUUUCUGGGGGUUAAAUUAGCAAAACAGUGAAAAGGCUCUGCCACUUUAUGUUCCUUUAGAACUAGGGAGAACCAACGAUGCAUAGAUACUGUUCUGGGUUUAUGCUUAUACCAAAAUAAGUUGCAAGUGUGCAACAGAAAUACUUUAAAGUACUUGAGUAGAUCAUUCAAGGACAAUCAGUAGUUGUAGUAGUCCGUCUUCAUGGAAUUGUAGCAUUGCAGUAUUCAUAGCCCUAUUAUUGCUGGAAUAAAGACUUUUAGAGUCCACUGUAAGAUGAGAAAGUGUUAAAGGUAACAAGAGAGACAAAAGACGCAGCACACUGGGAUCUUCAUUUUUCAACCACAGGCAAUUAUGAAAAUAAUGCUUCAAGUUUAGGUUACAUGUUAUGAAUCUUCCUCGAGGCCCGACCCUCACCUUGCCUUGCCCUGUCAGAUCGGGUUAGGAGUUAGACCGGCGCAGGGAUGUGACAGCUGGAAAUGGUUUGAGGAUCUCUGGAUAGUUUGUUUUCAGAGCACGCUGCGGGACUGGAUGAAAGACAUGCGUAAGUUGGCCCGUGGCUGCAAUGCUUAUGCGCCUCAAGGCAAUAAAAGUGUUACUGUGAAUUUGAUCACUGUUUAAUGCCUGCACUGCAGCACUAUUAGCAAGUCCUAAGUGCUCGGCGUUAAAGUGUGACAGACGGAUCCGAGCUGCGCAGGUAUCUCGGUAGUGUGUGACUGUCCCAGCUAAUUGGCCUCCUCUGUGUUUUGAGCACUUUGACCUAUCGGGGAUUCAUUUCCUGGCCUGUUGUGUUCCUAAGUAUGCAACAGGGGUUCUGGCAUAAUUCACACUCUCACUUCCCAAUCCCUCUCAGAUGGUGGGGUGCUUUUCCUCUCUUUAUGACCAAAUAAAUCUGACUGGUGCUAAAGGAGAGAGAGAGAGAGAGAGAGAGAGAAAAAAACGGGAUUAAAAUUCCCCAUUCGCUUUCUCGAGGAGCCCAGCUGCAUUGCACUGUUUGUUUUCCACGGCGCUCAGAGCAGCUGCAGAGAGGUGGGCCAAAUCAAAACAGCAAGGACGUAUUUUUGUUGGCAUGCGCUUUCCCAUUCACUUAGCAAUAAUUGUAUUGUGAAAUUAGAAAGGAGCAACACAAGCUAGGAUUAGUGUCACACGCUUAAAAGGUGCUUUAAGUGUAGCAGCUCCAAAAAACGGUGCUCAUUGCCUUUUGUCAAAACAAAGUUCUCCCUCCUCAUAUGACACAAUGCAUCAGCACACACCGUGUUACAAAGCAGACCCCUUGGACACAAGAGCAAAGUUUGCAGAUGAAGUAAGCUCCCCAGACCAACAUUUAUCACUGUUUACCUAAACUAAGAUGAUUCAAGCAACACACUGAAGCUAUUUUAACAGUAACACAUGAGUGGCAGCCAACUCGCACCGCAGGAGGAGAGGUGUCGAUGUGCUCGGAGAUAACGCCGGGAAGAAAUGCGGUGCGGCAGGUAAGACAUGUCAGAGAGCAAUAUUAUCUGGGCUGAUUCUCAACAAAUGCCAUCUGAAUGUAAAUGAGCGUGACUGCCCAGCAGGUUUAUGACGGCUGUCUUGCUCAGCUUAAUGUGAUCUCUCCACACCUGCCGUGACCUUGCAGCAAACUCUGACAGAGAAAACAAGUCGGACUGUGCGCUUUGUUUGAAUGACACAACUGCUCUUGCGCCAUUUUGACUCAUUGUGAGUGAGUGAGCUACGCUGAAAAGACUCGAAAGUGACGUUUUCGAUACCUUCAGUCCCAAAUUAUUGCAAACCUUUCAAUGAAUUAGAUGGUAAUAUUUAAAGGAAAGCUCAAACCUACAGUGAAUGGAGAGGUAAGACUCGACCCCAAUUCUAGACAAUCCUUUGUAGAAUCAUAUCACAUUGGUCUUUGCAAUGUUUUUUAUUCACCAAUGUUCUGUCAAUAUCAAAGUUAAAUGUAUUUGCAGUGUAUAGCACAUUUACAAACAACAAAAGCAGACCGACAUGCUUCACAGUUUCACAAAAAACCCCAACUAAACUAUACAAUCAAAUACAGAAUAAAGCAGAGAAUAGAAGAUAGUAAAGCAAAUAAAAGCCAAGCAAAACUUUUUAGUACCCCAAGGCUAGGGAGGAGUGAUGGGUUUUUAAAUGAUUGUCUGGUUUGAGACUAAAUUAUGCAGAGAUGGAGUAAUUACAUCACUUCUGAAGGAAAGUGGUUGGACUGUAUUUUAUUUAGGGGCAUUAAACCCCUUGACUGUCAAGAUGACUCUUCAUGAACCCAUUGACUUAAACAUGUAAGCAUCCAGAGGGUGACAGUUGAAGGGUUGAAGCUAAUUGGGGUGAAGAAAAAUGCACUCCACACUUCUCAGAUUUUUCUGUUAAAAAAAAGAAAAAAAGAAAGCAGUUUUCUUUUUAUUUGGAGUUUAAGUUUGUAAUCUAUAAAAAUGUGAGAUUUAAGUGAGAUGAAUACUUAUGCAAUUGAAAAGCAAUAUACUGACACUGACACAGCCAAUACAAAUCAAUGUCAUGAGUCCACCGCAAAUAUACAACGCUUUCCAGGAUCCGUUUGUGCAUUCCUUGCUGGACGCCAUCGUCUACAGGUUGUAAAGAAGACGUUUUAAAACAUCAACACUAAUAAUAAGCUAUCCAUGAGAAAAACUAAGCUGCUCUUGCGGACUGGGAAUAGGUUUGUCUCCUCCUGUGGAUACUCAAAGACAAAAACCAGCAAGAACACUAAAAAUAUGCAAAAAAGACUUGUGGUGCAGUUUCCCAAGGCUGGAGAAAGGAAAUAGACUGACAGUUUCUCCCUGACCUCCUCACCAACCCCCUGUAACCUCCUAACAACCCCUUGGGGGAUCCUGUCUCUAUGCGUAAAACAGACAUUCAGAAAGCGUCCUGGAAAGUUCAGAGCCACAAAAACAAGGGGAUGUGAGGAAGUUCAAUAAGCUCGAACAAGGAGGGCUCAGCCGGUAGAUAAUCUCAAGGCCACACAGCGCGGGCCUCCGGUCCUACAGGGAUCCUGAAGAUUUGCCAUUGUUGCAUUGAAAAAUUAAACAGCUCCAGUGAGGUCAGCUGCGUUAAACCCACCUCUCUUCUUGAGUGUCUGCUCCGGGCCGCGAUGUUGACAUACAGGGCAGGUGCAGACGCCCCCCUUUUGCCCCCAGUCCAUAUCUGCAUCAACUAGAACCCCCCACCCCUCCACCUUCAACCAGCAUACACACACAAACACACACACACACAUACCCCCACAAAGCUUGGAUGUCACAAGACGGGGGUUAAAUGGACAAAGACAAAUCAACCAUUUUCUUUAAUAUCUCUGCAACAAUCAGUGCGGGGCUGCUGAGUUAACACAGGGCCCACAGAGAUGAACACAAAGGGCUGGAUUCUUCGGGCUCGAAGAUGGCUAUGGGAAAUGGCAUGGAUGCCAGUGCUGAUAAGUGACCGAUGGGCUCAAGUUACUUCCAGCUGUCUGCUGCCAUGCAUGCCUCUCCAAAACGUAUGGUUCGCACAUAAAUGCAAACUAUUUCAUUUACGUAACACUCAUAAAGUAAACGCCGGACAUAUAAAAAAAUAGAGAGAGAGAGAGAGAAAAAAAAAUUUCAACACCCUCUGACUUGGGAAGGGUUUAUAUUGCAGGAAUUAAUCUCUAGUCCUCUGAGGAGGAACUCUGUUCUUCUUCAGCUGAGAAAACACAGACAGCUGAAAAUUCGGACCUCGCUGGGGCAAAAGCUGGAUCAAUAAAAUCCAGGGAAUACUGGAAAACCUGGAUGCAGCAUGUGGAAAGAGUCUGACUCAGGUCUCCUGGAUAAUUAUGCUAGUUUACAUUGUUUGGCUGAACACAGUAAACAGUGUCCACAAGGACCUGUUGGCAUUGUUGGCUCCGAUUGUUUUUUUUCCUUUAACUAUAAAAGCCAGAUUUCCAUACGGACACAGGAAAAUGAAAAUUACAUUUCCCUUCCAGUGUUUAAAAUGAUGGGGAAUUAAAGAGAAAAUAAAAUUGAGGCUGUAAAAGACUAUUACUUUUUAACGCAGGCUGUAUUUCUGAGCUGUAAACUUAGUUGCUCUCAAAAAAA